GUGGGGAAUUUUAGACAAUGGGCGCAAGCCUGAUCCAGCAAUGCCGCGUGCAGGAAGAAGGCCUUCGGGUUGUAAACUGCUUUUGUACGGAACGAAACGGUCCUGGUUAAUACCUGGGGCUAAUGACGGUACCGUAAGAAUAAGCACCGGCUAACUACGUGCCAGCAGCCGCGGUAAUACGUAGGGUGCAAGCGUUAAUCGGAAUUACUGGGCGUAAAGCGUGCGCAGGCGGUUUUGUAAGACAGGCGUGAAAUCCCCGGGCUCAACCUGGGAAUUGCGCUUGUGACUGCAAGGCUGGAGUGCGGCAGAGGGGGAUGGAAUUCCGCGUGUAGCAGUGAAAUGCGUAGAUAUGCGGAGGAACACCGAUGGCGAAGGCAAUCCCCUGGGCCUGCACUGACGCUCAUGCACGAAAGCGUGGGGAGCAAACAGGAUUAGAUACCCCUGUAGUCC
rnacentral:rRNA from 1 species